GACGAACGCUGGCGGCGUGCUUAACACAUGCAAGUCGAACGGAAAGGCCCUGCUUGCAGGGUCCUCGAGUGGCGAACGGGUGAGUAACACGUGGGUGAUCUGCCCUGCACUUCGGGAUAAGCCUGGGAAACUGGGUCUAAUACCGGGUAGGAGCCAUUUUUAGUGUGAUGGUUGGAAAGUUUUUUCGGUGUAGGAUGAGCUCGCGGCCUAUCAGCUUGUUGGUGGGGUAAUGGCCUACCAAGGCGGCGACGGGUAGCCGGCCUGAGAGGGUGGACGGCCACAUUGGGACUGAGAUACGGCCCAGACUCCUACGGGAGGCAGCAGUGGGGAAUAUUGCACAAUGGGCGCAAGCCUGAUGCAGCGACGCCGCGUGGGGGAUGACGGCCUUCGGGUUGUAAACUCCUUUCGCUAGGGACGAAGCUUUUUGUGACGGUACCUAGAGAAGAAGCACCGGCUAACUACGUG
rnacentral:rRNA from 1 species